UACGUAGGGCGCAAGCGUUGUCCGGAAUUAUUGGGCGUAAAGAGCUCGUAGGCGGCCAGUUGCGUCUGCUGUGAAAUCCCGGGGCUCAACCCCGGGCGUGCAGUGGAUACGGGCUGGCUAGAGGCAGGCAGGGGAGAACGGAAUUCCCGGUGUAGCGGUGAAAUGCGCAGAUAUCGGGUGGAACACCGGUGGCGAAGGCGGUGGUCUGGGCCGGAACUGACGCUGAGGAGCGAAAGCGUGGGGAGCGAACAGG
rnacentral:rRNA from 1 species